AACCUGUAUCUCGUACUAUUAAAAACCCGCGAUUUUAUGCGCGUGGUUUUUAAUAUCAUAGUGUACGAGAUAUAUGCUGGUGGAUGCUCAGAAAUUGUAUGCUAUAGAUGUGCAUUUGCUCGUUUCUAUACUUAUGAUUUCGAUAUUCGAUACGAUGAGUUUAUUUUCUUUCGCUUCUGGUGAAUUAUUAGAUUCAAUCGUAUUCCGGCUGCGUUGGAAAUGUUGCGGUCAGAAAUGCAGAUUCUGUAUUAACGCGCACUUUUUCAGCCUGUCGGACCAGCGAAAUUACUUUGAACAAAUUAGAGUGCUUAAAGCAGGCAAAUUUUAUGCCUUGAAUAUACACAGCAUGGAAUAAUAGAAUAUGAUCUCGAUACUGUUUGUUUGAUGCUUUCUUGUUUUUCGGAGCAAAAAAGUAUUAUUCAUCUGAUAGUAUGCAUUGGUUUUAAUUGACUAGUGUUGUAUGGUCGAUGGAAAGAAAUUGGCUUAAAGUGACAUUAUCAGCUGAUCGGCUAAAGCAGUAGGUGAAAAAUUGAUUGAAAAUGUUUUCUAGCGUUUCCAUAAAAAUCGGUUUUUUAUCCUACUGUGACGGUUUGCAUUUUGUCACGACAGUUU
rnacentral:rRNA from 1 species